GAUGAACGCUGGCGGCGUGCCUAAUACAUGCAAGUCGAGCGAACGGACGAGAAGCUUGCUUCUCUGAUGUUAGCGGCGGACGGGUGAGUAACACGUGGAUAACCUACCUAUAAGACUGGGAUAACUUCGGGAAACCGUAGCUAAUACCGGAUAAUAUUUUGAACCGCAUGGUUCAAAAGUGAAAGACGGUCUUGCUGUCACUUAUAGAUGGAUCCGCGCUGCAUUAGCUAGUUGGUAAGGUAACGGCUUACCAAGGCAACGAUGCAUAGCCGACCUGAGAGGGUGAUCGGCCACCCUGGAACUGAGACCCGGUCCAGACUCCUACGGGAGGCAGCAUUAGGGAAUCUUCCGCAAGGGGCGAAAGCCUGACGGGGCAACGCCGCGGGAGGGAUGAAGGUCUUCGGAUCGUAAAACUCUUUUAUUAGGGAAGAACAUAUGUGUAAGUAACUGUGCACAUCUGGACGGUACCUAAUCAAAAAACCACGGCUAACUACGU
rnacentral:rRNA from 1 species